GCCCCCACUCUGAGAGCUGGCAGGAUGCAGUUUCUGGGAUGGCAGAAGCAUUCAAAACCUUUCUUGCUGCAAGGAAGUGAGCAGCUCUUCAGAAAGCCUUACCCAAUAAGCUUUGGAGGAAUGCAACCACACAGCUGUAAGAUGUCCUAAAAGUUUAUUGCCACCCAGUUAGUACAGACGCUGGGGCUUCCCCAUGGUGCUCUUGAUAUACAAAGCACGCACGUUCUGCCAGUUCUUCUUCAGCAAGGACACCAGGAAGUUGAUGGCCAGGUGGAUGUUGUAGACAAGUUCGUCCUCUGUCAUCUUCACAUGACCAACAGCCACAGCCA